rnacentral:rRNA from 1 species
UACAGAGGGUGCAAGCGUUGUUCGGAAUUAUUGGGCGUAAAGCGCGUGUAGGCGGCUUUGCAAGUCGGGUGUGAAAGCCCUCGGCUCGACCGAGGAAGUGCGCCCGAAACUGCAGAGCUUGAGUACCGGAGAGGAUGGCGGAAUUCCCCAAGUAGAGGUGAAAUUCGUAGAUAUGGGGAGGAACACCGGUGGCGAAGGCGGCCAUCUGGACGGAUACUGACGCUGAGACGCGAAAGCGUGGGGAGCGAACAGG